UACGUAGGGUGCAAGCGUUGUCCGGAAUUAUUGGGCGUAAAGAGCUCGUAGGCGGUCUGUCGCGUCGGCUGUGAAAACUCGGGGCUCAACCCCGAGCCUGCAGUCGAUACGGGCAGACUAGAGUGCUGUAGGGGAGACUGGAAUUCCUGGUGUAGCGGUGAAAUGCGCAGAUAUCCGGAAGAACACCGGUGGCGAAGGCGGCCUGCUGGGCAGUAGCUGACACUGAGGCGCGACAGCGUGGGGAGCAAACAGG
rnacentral:rRNA from 1 species